AGAGUUUGAUCAUGGCUCAGGAUGAACGCUAGCGGCAGACUUAAUACAUGUGAGUCGAGGGGCAGCGGAUCCCUCCGGGGAUGCCGGCGACCGGCGAACGGGUGAGUAACACGUAUGGAACCUACCCUUAACUGGGGAAUAGCCUUGAGAAAUCGAGGGUAAUACCCCAUAUCAUCUGAAAGAGGCAUCUCUUUCAGAUGAAAGCUCCGGCGGUUAAGGAUGGCCAUGCGGUCCAUUAGCUUGUUGGUGAGAUAACCGCUCACCAAGGCUACGAUGGGUAGCUGAUCUGAGAGGAUGAUCAGCCACAUUGGCACUGAGACACGGGCCAAACUCCUGCGGGAGGCAGCAGUAGGGAAUCUUGGUCAAUUGGCGAAAGCCAGAACCAGUCAUGCCGCGUGCAGGAUGAAAGGCCCUACGGCUCGUAAACUGCUUUUAUUCGGGAAGAAAAAGUCUGUUUCCACAGACCUUGACGGUACCCGAUUGAAUAAGGACCGGCCAACUUCCGUGCCAGCAGCCCGCGGUAAUACGGAGGGUCCAAGCGGUUAUCCGGAUUCACUGGGUUUAAAGGGUGCGCAGGCGGCCAAGUUAAGUCAAGUGGUGAAAGCCUUCGGCUCAACCGGAGAACUUGCCAUUGAAACUACUUUGGCUUGAGUGCAGCAGAGGUAGGCGGAAUGUCAGCAUGUAGCGGUGAAAUGCUUAGAUAUGCUACAGAACACCGAUAGCGAAAGCAGCUUACCACACUGUAACUGACGCUGAGGCACGAAAGCAUGGGUAGCAAACAGGAUUAGAAUACCCCUGGUUAGUCCAUGCCGUAAACUUUGAACACUCGGAGUUUGCCACCUAGUGGAAGCUCCUAGCGAAAGCGUUAAGUGUUCCACCUGGGGAGUACGGCCGCAAGGCUAAAACUCAAAGGAAUUGACGGGGGCCCGCACAAGCGGAGGAGCAUGUGGUUUAAUUCGAUGAUACGCGAGGAACCUUACCCGGGCUAUAAUGCCUGUGACAGCUCUGGAAACAGAGUUUUCCUUCGGGACACAGUGCAAGGUGCUGCAUGGCUGUCGUCAGCUCGUGCCGUGAGGUGUUGGGUUAAGUCCCUUAACGAGCGCAACCCCUAUCUUUAGUUGCCAGCACUUUCAGGUGGGCACUCUAAAGAAACUGCCUACGUAAGUAGAGAGGAAGGAGGGGAUGACGUCAAGUCAUCAUGGCCCUUAUGCCCGGGGCUACACACAUGCUACAAUGGUGGGUACAAAGGGAAGCCACUUGGCAACAAGGAGCUAAUCCCGAAAAGCCCAUCACAGUUCGGAUUGGAGUCUGCAACUCGACUCCAUGAAGCUGGAUUCGCUAGUAAUCGUGGAUCAGCAACGUCACGGUGAAUACGUUCCCGGGCCUUGUACACACCGCCCGUCAAGCCAUGGAAGUCGGGAGUACCUGAAGCCAGUAACCGUACAGGAGCUGGUGAGGGUAAGCCUGGCAACUGGGGCUAAGUCGUAACAAGGUAACC
rnacentral:rRNA from 1 species